UAUAUUGUGUGAUGUGUGUUCUAUGAAGAACUUUGUAUCGGAUGAGUUGUAAGUUGGUGUUUUUUGUCAUUGAAAAUGUGUUUUUACAGAUCUGUGUCCAGUGGUCAGGGUCAGAGGUGAGGAGGAAGUCCACCCCCCAUUUUAAACUGGGUAAAUGUGAUGCAGUGUCUGUGCAAGAA